CAGUCGCCGCGGGAAUACGGAGGGUGCAAGCGUUAAUCGGAAUUACUGGGCGUAAAGCGUGCGUAGGCGGUUCGUUAAGUCUGUUGUGAAAGCCCCGGGCUCAACCUGGGAAUGGCAAUGGAUACUGGCGAGCUAGAGUGUGUCAGAGGAUGGUGGAAUUCCCGGUGUAGCGGUGAAAUGCGUAGAGAUCGGGAGGAACAUCAGUGGCGAAGGCGGCCAUCUGGGACAACACUGACGCUGAGGCACGAAAGCGUGGGGAGCAAACAGGAUUAGAUACCCGGGUAGUCCCUGUCUCUUAUAC
rnacentral:rRNA from 1 species